GUUGGUAGAGCGGAGGACUGUAGU
rnacentral:piRNA from 2 species